rnacentral:rRNA from 1 species
GGUUAAGCGACUAAGCGUACACGGUGGAUGCCCUGGCAGUCAGAGGCGAUGAAGGACGUGCUAAUCUGCGAUAAGCGUCGGUAAGGUGAUAUGAACCGUUAUAACCGGCGAUUUCCGAAUGGGGAAACCCAGUGUGUUUCGACACACUAUCAUUAACUGAAUCCAUAGGUUAAUGAGGCGAACCGGGGGAACUGAAACAUCUAAGUACCCCGAGGAAAAGAAAUCAACCGAGAUUCCCCCAGUAGCGGCGAGCGAACGGGGAGCAGCC